CGCUGGUCUGAAUGUAGAGUUAUUUCAGUUGAUUGUUCAGUCAGAUAGAAUUCCUUGUUCUACGUCCCCCACUCACCUCUACUGCAGUUGACUAGUCUUUU
rnacentral:Y_RNA from 1 species